rnacentral:snRNA from 1 species
GGAUGUGAAGUCAAUCUGACUACAACAUCUGUCAACCCAUUGAUUGCCAGGAUUGAUUUGGCUGAUCUGGCUGGCUAGGUGAAUGUCCCCUUCCUUCCUCACCACUCCACAUGGGUUCCUUCCAAAACUGCACACUGGGUCAAAGAAGACAACCUUCCCCAGUAGACUGUUCUUUGCUCAAGAGUGGAAGAGUAGCUGUGCUCCUCUGCUAGACCCUUAGAGAUGUUAGGUUAAAAUCCUUGCAUAUGGCCCAAAUGGAGUUCCGUCUAU